rnacentral:rRNA from 1 species
AGGGCGCAGGGUGGAUGCCUUGGCACUAAGAGCCGAUGAAAGACGUGAUAAGCUGCGAAAAGCUUCGGGGAGGAGCAAAUAUCCAAAGAUCCGGAGAUUUCUGAAUGGGGAAACCCACAUGAGAAUACCUCAUGUAUCCAUACGCCAAUCCAUAACGUAUGGAAGGGAACCCGGUGAACUGAAACAUCUAAGUAGCCGGAGGAAGAGAAAGAAACAUCGAUUUCCAGAGUAGCGGCGAGCGAAAUGGAAAGAGGCCAAACCGUUGUGCGUGCACAGCGGGGUUCGGACCGCAUAAUUGAUUCAGUGAUUCUAGCAGAAAGGUUUUGGGAAAGCCUGCCGGAGAGGGUGAAAGCCCCGUAAGCGAAAGGAGAGUUGACAUGGCGGUAUCCAGAGUACAUCGAGACACGAGAAACCUUGAUGGAACAAGCGGGGACCACCCCGUAAGCCUAAAUACUACUUAGUGACCGAUAGCGCAUAGUACUGUGAAGGAAAGGUGAAAAGGACCCCGGGAGGGGAGUGAAAGAGAACCUGAAACCCUGUGUCUACAAGCUGUGGGACCUCUUUAUAUGAGGGACUGCGUACUUUUUGUAGAACGGUCCGGCGAGUUGUGCGUACUGGCGAGGUUAAGGACUUAAGGUCUGGAGCCGAAGUGAAAGCAAGCGUUAAUAGCGCGUCAAGUCAGUGAGUGCAGACCCGAAACCGGGUGACCUAUCCAUGUCCAGGUUGAAGCUUCCGUAAGAGGAAGUGGAGGACCGAACCCACAUCCGUUGAAAAGGGUGGGGAUGAGGUGUGGAUAGCGGAGAAAUUCCAAUCGAACCCGGAGAUAGCUGGUUCUCCUCGAAAUAGCUUUAGGGCUAGCCUCAUGAGAGUCUUAUGGAGGUAGAGCACUGAAUUGCCUAGGGGGCGUCAAAGCUUACCAAAGCAUAUCAAACUCCGAAUGCCAUCAAGAUGAUUCAUGGGAGUCAGACCAUACGAGAUAAGUUGGAUGGUCAAAAGGGAAAGAGCCCAGACCUACAGCUAAGGUCCCAAAGUGCGUGUUAAGUGGAAAAGGAUGUGGGGAUUCUAAGACAACUAGGACGUUGGCUUAGAAGCAGCCAUUCAUUGAAAGAGUGCGUAAUAGCUCACUAGUCGAGAGUCCCUGCGCCGAAAAUGUCCGGGGCUGAAACACGACACCGAAGCUUAGGAAUGUGUAAACAUUGGUAGAGGAGCAUUGCUAGCGGGAUGAAGCCAUACCGUAAGGAGUGGUGGACUGCUAGGAAGAGAGAAUGCCGGAAUGAGUAGCGAGAUGAAGGUGAGAAUCCUUCAGGCCGAAUAUCUAAGGUUUCCAGAGUAAAGCUGAUCUGCUCUGGGUAAGUCGGGACCUAAGGCGAGGUCGAAAGACGUAGUCGAUGGAUAACAGGUUGAAAUUCCUGUACCGCAUAUAAACAGAACUGUGGGGACACAGACAGGGAAUGGAAUCCGGGAAUGGAAAUCCCGGUGCAAGCGAGGUAGGAGUGCUGUUGGCAAAUCCGCAGCACGAUCUGAAGACGUGACGCGUACCGAACAUAAGUAGGGAAGUCCAGGCCCCUGGCUGUCAAGAAAAGCCGCUAUUGUUUUAUAUGUGCCCGUACCGCAAACCGACACAGGUGGAUGAGGAGAGAAUCCUAAGGCCGACGGGAGAAGUAUUGUUAAGGAACUCGGCAAAAUGACUCCGUAACUUCGGGAGAAGGAGUGCCAUGUAAAAGUGGCCGCAGAGAAUUGGCCCAAGCAACUGUUUAGCAAAAACACAGGUCUAUGCAAAACCGAAAGGUGAAGUAUAUGGGCUGACGCCUGCCCGGUGCUGGAAGGUUAAGGGGAGAGGUUAGCGCAAGCGAAGCUUUGAACUUAAGCCCCAGUAAACGGCGGCCGUAACUAUAACGGUCCUAAGGUAGCGAAAUUCCUUGUCGGGUAAGUUCCGACCCGCACGAAAGGCGUAAUGAUUUGAGCGCUGUCUCGACAAUGCAUCCGGUGAAAUUGAAGUACCAGUGAAGAUGCUGGUUACCUGCGCCAGGACGGAAAGACCCCAUGGAGCUUUACUCCAGUUUGAUACUGGGAUUCGGUACUGCAUGUACAGGAUAGGUGGGAGACGAAGAAGGAUGGACGCCAGUCUGUCCGGAGUCGCUGUUGGGAUACCACCCCUGUAGUACUGGGUUUCUAACCAGUUGCCAUGAACUGGCAAUGGGACAAUGUCAGGCGGGGAGUUUGACUGGGGCGGUCGCCUCCGAAAGGGUAUCGGAGGCGCUCAAAGGU